rnacentral:rRNA from 1 species
AACGCGAAGAACCUUACCAGCCCUUGACAUCCCGGUCGCGGACUCCAGAGAUGGAGUUCUUCAGUUCGGCUGGACCGGAGACAGGUGCUGCAUGGCUGUCGUCAGCUCGUGUCGUGAGAUGUUGGGUUAAGUCCCGCAACGAGCGCAACCCCCGUCCUUAGUUGCUACCAUUUAGUUGAGCACUCUAAGGAGACUGCCGGUGAUAAGCCGCGAGGAAGGUGGGGAUGACGUCAAGUCCUCAUGGCCCUUACGGGCUGGGCUACACACGUGCUACAAUGGCGGUGACAAUGGGACGCUAAGGGGCAACCCUUCGCAAAUCUCAAAAAGCCGUCUCAGUUCGGAUUGGGCUCUGCAACUCGAGCCCAUGAAGUUGGAAUCGCUAGUAAUCGUGGAUCAGCACGCCACGGUGAAUACGUUCCCGGGCCUUGUA